rnacentral:rRNA from 1 species
GACGAACGCUGGCGGCGUGCUUAACACAUGCAAGUCGAGCGGUAAGGCUCCUUCGGGGGUACACGAGCGGCGAACGGGUGAGUAACACGUGAGUAAUCUGCCCUUCACUUCGGGAUAUCCGCCGGAAACGGUGGCUAAUACCGGAUACGACGCACUCUCGCAUGAGAUGUGCGUGGAAAGUCUUCUCGGUGAAGGAUGUGCUCGCGGCCUAUCAGCUUGUUGGUGAGGUAACGGCUCACCAAGGCUUCGACGGGUAGCCGGCCUGAGAGGGUGACCGGCCACACUGGGACUGAGACACGGCCCAGACUCCUACGGGAGGGAGCAGUGGGGAAUAUUGGACAAUGGGCGCAAGCCUGAUCCAGCAACGCCGCGUGAGGGAUGACGGCCUUCGGGUUGUAAACCUCUUUCAGUACCGACGAAGCGCCAAUAACGGUGGUGACGGUAGGUACAGAAGAAGGACCGGCCAACUACGUGCCAGCCGCCGCGGUAACAC